rnacentral:snRNA from 1 species
AGCUUUGUGCAGUGGCAGUACUGAAGUCAAUGAGGUUUAUCUGAGGCACGAUUAUUGCUAAUUGAAUGUCUCUAAUUGA